rnacentral:rRNA from 1 species
GACGAACCGUGCGAACGUUGUUCGGAAUCACUGGGCUUAAAGGGCGCGUAGGCGGCGAUUCCAGUCCGGGGGUGAAAGCCCCCGGCUCAACCGGGGAAGUGCCUUGGAUACUGAAUCGCUGGAGGGAGGUAGGGGCAGAGGGAACGUUCUGGGUGGAGCGGUGAAAUGCGCAGAUAUCAGGAGGAACACCGGUGGCGAAGGCGGGUCUCUGGGCCAUGAACUGACGCUGAGGAGCGAAAGCGUGGGGAGCGAACAGG